AUAGUAUAGUAGGCUGAAGAGGACGGUUUGCUAAACCGUUAGACCGGGUAACUGGUGCGAGGGUUCGAAUCCUCCUAAGCCCACCA
rnacentral:tRNA from 1 species